rnacentral:rRNA from 1 species
GACGAACGCUGGCGGCGUGCCUAAUACAUGCAAGUCGAACGCUUCUUUCCUCCCGAGUGCUUGCACUCAAUUGGAAAGAGGAGUGGCGGACGGGUGAGUAACACGUGGGUAACCUACCCAUCAGAGGGGGAUAACACUUGGAAACAGGUGCUAAUACUGCAUAACAGUUUAUGCCGCAUGGCAUAAGAGUGAAAGGCGCUUUCGGGUGUCGCUGAUGGAUGGACCCGCGGUGCAUUAGCUAGUUGGUGAGGUAACGGCUCACCAAGGCCACGAUGCAUAGCCGACCUGAGAGGGUGAUCGGCCACACUGGGACUGAGACACGGCCCAGACUCCUACGGGAGGCAGCAGUAGGGAAUCUUCGGCAAUGGACGAAAGUCUGACCGAGCAACGCCGCGUGAGUGAAGAAGGUUUUCGGAUCGUAAAACUCUGUUGUUAGAGAAGAACAAGGACGUUAGUAACUGAACGUCCCCUGACGGUAUCUAACCAGAAAGCCACGGCUAACUACGUG